rnacentral:rRNA from 1 species
AAGCUGAGGCCGACAGGCGUAGGCGAUGGAUAACAGGUUGAUAUUCCUGUACCACCUAGUAUCGUUUUAAUCGAUGGGGGGACGCAGUAGGAUAGGCGAAGCGUGCUGUUGGAGUGCACGUCCAAGCAGUAAGGCUGAGUGUUAGGCAAAUCCGGCACUCGUUAGGCUGAGCUGUGAUGGGGAGAGGAAAUUGUUUCCUCGAGUCGUUGAUUUCACACUGCCGAGAAAAGCCUCUAGAUAGAUAACAGGUGCCCGUACCGCAAACCGACACAGGUAGUCAAGAUGAGAAUUCUAAGGUGAGCGAGCGAACUCUCGUUAAGGAACUCGGCAAAAUGACCCCGUAACUUCGGGAGAAGGGGUGCUCUUUAGGGUUCACGCCCAGAAGAGCCGCAGUGAAUAGGCCCAAGCGACUGUUUAUCAAAAACACAGGUCUCUGCUAAACCGUAAGGUGAUGUAUAGGGGCUGACGCCUGCCCGGUGCUGGAAGGUUAAGAGGAGUGGUUAGCUUCUGCGAAGCCACGAAUCGAAGCCCCAGUAAACGGCGGCCGUAACUAUAACGGUCCUAAGGUAGCGAAAUUCCUUGUCGGGUAAGUUCCGACCCGCACGAAAGGCGUAACGAUUUGGGCACUGUCUCAACGAGAGACUCGGUGAAAUCAUAGUACCUGUGAAGAUGCAGGUUACCCGCGACAGGACGGAAAGACCCCGUGGAGCUUUACUGUAGCCUGAUAUUGAAAUUCGGCACAGCUUGUACAGGAUAGGUAGGAGCCAUUGAAACGUGAGCGCUAGCUUACGUGGAGGCGUUGGUGGGAUACUACCCUAGCUGUGUUGGCUUUCUAACCCGCACCACUUAUCGUGGUGGGAGACAGUGUCAGGCGGGCAGUUUGACUGGGGCGGUCGCCUCCUAAAAGGUAACGGAGGCGCUCAAAGGUUCCCUCAGAAUGGUUGGAAAUCAUUCACAGAGUGUAAAGGCAUAAGGGAGCUUGACUGCGAGACCUACAAGUCGAGCAGGGUCGAAAGACGGACUUAGUGAUCCGGUGGUUCCGCAUGGAAGGGCCAUCGCUCAACGGAUAAAAGCUACCCCGGGGAUAACAGGCUUAUCUCCCCCAAGAGUUCACAUCGACGGGGAGGUUUGGCACCUCGAUGUCGGCUCAUCGCAUCCUGGGGCUGUAGUCGGUCCCAAGGGUUGGGCUGUUCGCCCAUUAAAGCGGUACGCGAGCUGGGUUCAGAACGUCGUGAGACAGUUCGGUCCCUAUCCGUCGUGGGCGUAGGAAAUUUGAGAGGAGCUGUCCUUAGUACGAGAGGACCGGGAUGGACAUACCUCUGGUGUACCAGUUGUCGUGCCAACGGCAUAGCUGGGUAGCUAUGUAUGGACGGGAUAAGUGCUGAAAGCAUCUAAGCAUGAAGCCCCCCUCAAGAUGAGAUUUCCCAACUUCGGUUAUAAGAUCCCUCGAAGAUGACGAGGUUAAUAGGUUCGAGGUGGAAGCGUGGUGACACGUGGAGCUGACGAAUACUAAUCGAUCGAAGACUUAAUCAAU